GACCUUCGGGUCUAGUGGCGCACGGGUGCGUAACACGUGGGAAUUUGCCUCGGGGUAUGGAAUAACUCAGGGAAACUUGAGCUAAUACCAUAUAAUGUCUUCGGACCAAAGAUUUAUCGCCCUGAGAUAAGCCCGCGUAGGAUUAGCUAGUUGGUGGGGUAAAGGCUCACCAAGGCGACGAUCCUUAGCUGGUCUGAGAGGAUGAUCAGCCACACUGGGACUGAGACACGGCCCAGACUCCUACGGGAGGCAGCAGUGGGGAAUAUUGGACAAUGGGCGAAAGCCUGAUCCAGCAAUGCCGCGUGAGUGAUGAAGGCCUUCGGGUUGUAAAGCUCUUUUACUCGGGACGAUAAUGACGGUACCGAGAGAAUAAGCCCCGGCUAACUCCGUG
rnacentral:rRNA from 1 species